rnacentral:rRNA from 1 species
GGGGGGGGGGGGGGGGGGGGGGGGGGGAGGGGGGGCGAGGGGCGGCGCGGGGGGCGGCCUGGCGGCGAGUGGCGGACGGGUGAGUGAUGCAGCGGAACGUGCCCAGUAGUGGGGGAUAGCCCGGCGAAAGCCGGAGUAGUACCGCCUACGACCUGCGGGUGAACGCGGGGGCCCGAACGGCCUCGCGCUAUUGGAGCGGCCGAUGUCGGAUUAGCUAGUUGGUGGGGUAACGGCUUACCAAGGCGACGAUCCGUAGCUGGUCUGAGAGGACGACCAGCCACACUGGGACUGAGACACGGCCCAGACUCCUACGGGAGGCAGCAGUGGGGAAUUUUGGACAAUGGGGGCAACCCUGAUCCAGCCAUGCCGCGUGCGGGAAGAAGGCCUUCGGGUUGUAAAACGCUUUUGUUCGGGAAGAAAUCCUCUGGGCUAAUACCCCGGGGGGAUGACGGUACCGGAAGAAUAAGCACCGGCUAACUACGUG